rnacentral:rRNA from 1 species
AGUGAACGCUGGCGGUAGGCCUAACACAUGCAAGUCGAACGGCAGCACAGUAAGAGCUUGCUCUUACGGGUGGCGAGUGGCGGACGGGUGAGGAAUACAUCGGAAUCUACUUUUUCGUGGGGGAUAACGUAGGGAAACUUACGCUAAUACCGCAUACGACCUACGGGUGAAAGCAGGGGAUCUUCGGACCUUGCGCGAUUGAAUGAGCCGAUGUCGGAUUAGCUAGUUGGCGGGGUAAAGGCCCACCAAGGCGACGAUCCGUAGCUGGUCUGAGAGGAUGAUCAGCCACACGGGAACUGAGACACGGCCCAGACUCCUACGGGAGGCAGCAGUGGGGAAUAUUGGACAAUGGGCGCAAGCCUGAUCCAGCCAUACCGCGUGGGUGAAGAAGGCCUUCGGGUUGUAAAGCCCUUUUGUUGGGAAAGAAAAGCAGCAGGUUAAUACCCCGCUGUUCUGACGGUACCCAAAGAAUAAGCACCGGCUAACUUCGUG